GGCUGCACCCACAGCAUAUGGAGGUUCCCAGGCUAGGGGUCUAAUCAGCUAUAGCCGCCAGCCUACACCACAGCCACAGCAACGCCAGAUCCUUAACCCACUGAGCGGGGUCAGGGAUCGAACCCGCAACCUCAUGGUUCCUAGUCGGAUAUGUUUCCGCUGCACCAUCGUGAUGGGCACUCCUGCCCUGUUUUCUUUUCAUGGUAUUCAGCAGCAGACAUUCCCUGACUGAGGGAAGCCAUCCACAGAGAGGGCUUACCGGCAUUUUCAGUUGUCCAUCCAGCCUCUCGAGAUAGACCUGGCCUGGCCACCCAGGAGUGGGGCGACCUCGGCGAACAGUGGCUGAACAGGGGACGGGCAGGGAGGAGGCCAGGGCUUCCUCGGCCAGGCUCAGAACAUCAGGAGGGCAGCCUCCUCUCCUGGGGAGCUCGGGCAGGUAGGGCGACCUUGGUGGCAGACACCCCACUCACCCCUUGUCUCCACCUUUCAUGAUCCAGGAUCGGACAGAGGGCUUGUCACUAGAAUGGCUCCUGUCAUUUAAAACACAUCAAAUCCUCUGAAGAGCCCUAAGAAUUGGAAACACAUUUUAAACAUAUUUAUUCCAUAAAAUACGUUUAAUCUCUUUGGCACUUGCCAAAAAUAUGAUGUAUAGACAUGGAAAAGGGGGAAAUGACACAUUGAGCACAGGAAAACAAUGUCACAGCGCUAUUUAAUUUAUUGCUAACGACUUGAGAAUUUUGGGGGCUCACUGGGUAAAAGAAGACUUUACCUUCAUUUUAAUACGUAGGCUUUCGGGAAGUGUAAAUUUUGUCAUUGUUUAGUGGCAACUUUGAACAAAUUAGAAAAUAUUAUGCUGGAACUUAGGUUUGGAAGAUUAGUAGGUAUAUAUGGUAACAUUUCCUUUCUCUGGGCCAAUUAGGGGAGGAGACAUUUCAGAGAGAUUAAAUAUUGAAGCAUUUAAGUCCUAUCCUUUGAAACACUCAACGCCUGGGUGAAGUAUUUUUAUUGGAAGAUUUUCCCCGGUCCCUUGUGUACCCACUGCUCUCUGAAACUCGAGUGCAAUGGAAAUUGGGUCCCAUUUGUCUUGCUCACUCAAGAGCAUCACUAUGAAAACCAGCUACGGGGUCAUUCUGAAUUUGCCCCUCAGGAGCGUGCUGUGAUGCUUCUGUUCGCCACUAGUGUCCCUGUGUCAUUGCCGGGACAAGAGCCUAAGCGUGUUUUGUAAACUCGAAAGUGUGGUACCCUGCCUGGCGCUGGCCGUGGGUUCUUCACCCACCGAGAGCCGGGUUUGCCCAGGCUUGCUUUCAGUGGUCCUGCUUGCUCGUCACGGGAUGUCAAAAGCAUCAGGAAUUCCAGCCGCAAUCUUCAUCCUUGCUCUAUGGCCUCGGAUGAGUUAUCAGCUCCUCUGCGCCUUGGUUUUCCCAAUAACAAAGACGGUAGUGAGAACACCCGGGGUAGGACUGAACCAAGACCUGAGCUAUGAUGGGCUACGUCAUGUUAGGUUGUUUGGCUAAAAACCCCUGCCCAGACUCUGCUCCCACCCUAGGCAGAUAUUUAAUCAGAAGAAAGUGGAGAGGAGUCGUUUACAGGAAGGAAUAAGUGGCGGAUGCAGCAAGAGGGUUCUAAGGAGAAGGGGUCUCCCCACACUUUCCUCCUGUGAACUUAAUGCCCAGGACACUGUGGUGGAUGAGAAUUGGGGCUCGGCGCAUGCACAUUUCCUCUCUUUUCAUCAGGAAGCAAAUGGGGGAAUGAGCACCCGAAGCAGCUCUCUGAAGUGAUGCUGGUUCACCAUUUCGUUUGGGGGUGACGUGUCUCUGCUCAGGGAUAUGUUAUUAUUUCAGCGUCACGAGCCCUUUAAGAGCUCCCCGUGCCUCUGAAGAGCAGUCUGUGGGCCACUUUGGCACUGAGUGGGUCUGAGCUGCCACAGGGUGACCUCUGACCCUAAUCCUAACCCCCCCUGGAUUUGGGGGUGCCCACUGGUGCACAGCGGGAGGGAUGGAGGGACCCAUCAGGCUCACCAGUGGGCCUAGGGAGCUGGCAGCCUGGGGCUGGUUACGUAAACGAGGAUCCUGCUCAAAGCCCAGACCUCAUCAGAGCCCCGGUUUUGCACAGCCCUGCAACAGUAGCCACAUCCUCUUUGUGUCAGUUCAGGUUUAACCACAGACCCACCAACCAGCCUGGCCUUGCUAGGCACUGAUGACGGUUUCUUCUAAUAAGGAGGGAGGGGCAGAGGGGGGAGGGGAAGGGGUGUCAGGGACCCCCAGGAUUUCAGAUUAGGACCCUGGAGGAUUUCGUUGGCUCAUUGUUCCAGUAAGUGAGUGGAACAAUGCUAAGUGGUUCAAAUGCUGUUUUAUUGCUGUUUGUUAUAAAAUGAUACUUUAGUUUGGACACAUCUUUAGAAAAACUCAGGCUCCUCCUCCAUAAAAACUGACAAAACGAUUUAUAGAGGAAAUGCACAGGUAGCCAAAGAAUUGAGUCAAUACACACAAACCGGAAAGGGGGGGGGGUUCUACAAGCUGAGUUGAGAGCAGCUUAGAAGGUAGAAAUCAACUUUUUAUCUUGCAGUUAUUGUAAAAGUAAAUACAAUAAACACCCUGCGGGGUUCAUGAAACUGAAUCAUAAAAAAACAAACACAAAAUCUUGUGGUUUAUGCUACAUAAAGAUAAGCAAUUGGCAAUGUGUUUCUUUAAUAAGACUCUUUCCUGUUGUAAAGAGUUAACCAAGGAGUUGAUGCAAAUGUGUUUCUGCCCACUAUUCUCAUAUUUCUCCUUCUUCACUGAAAUUACUUUCUUCACAAGACGUGAGACUUAAAUGAGGAACUAUGGGGUCAUUAAGGUUGAUGCACAAGAAAAACUCAACAAACGUAAUUGUGUUGGAAUCUGCAAAGGGCUUUUCUGCUCCCUCCUUCUUCCUCCUUCUUUCCCGUGCCCCUCUGCUCUGUUGGUUCUUACUGAGAACUGUGUGCCCGGAGUGGGCGCUGGCCUUACCAUCCAGAGAUUUUGCUUAUUCAUUUGCCCAACCAGUAUUUUUUGAGCUCCCACCAUGUGCCAGGCUCUCUUCAAGGUCCUGGAGGUUCAGUGUUCAGUAUAAUGAAGUCCCUGUUUCCAUCCACUAACAGAUAAAUCAAUCUAUGGUUUAAUUCCGAGUACUGUUAAAUGCUGCGAAGAACGAGGAAGGAGGGUAAUGAGACAGAGAAUAAUGGGUGGGAAUUGGGGACUGUUUUAUGUGGAAUCAGGGACCCUCUAUGGAGAAGGGGGCCUUUGGAGCAGAGUCCUGAAUGAGGUAAGGAGAAACCCACAAGGGGGUCUGGGUGAAGUAUGUGGCAGAGGCAGAAAAAACAGCACUUGCAAAGGCCCUGAGGUUGGAAAUAAGCUUGGCGUGAUCCUAGGAAAACAAAGCAGAGGGAGCUGCUUUUCAGCUCUUGCCCACAGUAUGUUUCCCACCUAAACUGAUGUAGUAGACAUCUUACAGACUAAUUGCAAAGACGAAACAUGGUAGGACAUUGAAAUCCCCUAGCUCAGUGCCUAGUACACUUUAAAUUUUAAUAAAUAGAUGCCAUCAGCAUCAUCAUUUGAGCGGCUCAGUGUUCCUGCAUAACUGGUGCUGGUCCACCCCUAUGAUUCCACAGGGGUGAGAACUCAGUGGCUUUUCCCUUCGGUGAGGCUACAGAGCACGGGGGCCUUUGGGAGUUACCGUCUGAGGCUGUGAUGCCCUUGAGAUCUUUAGGGGGUAGUUCUUGAGAGAGUCCUGUGUUCGUGCCCUCGGACCCCUCCAUGCUCCCCAAAGGGCUUAGAAAAGAAACACCAGGCAUAUGCUUCAAAAGGCACGAUUCAUCUCUAUGUUGUUGACUUUGCCAAUCUU
rnacentral:lncRNA from 1 species